UAGGAGGCGAUCUCUCUCUCUCUCUCUCUCUCUCUCUCUCUCUCUCUGAACUGAUUUUCCUCUCAUUUUGUAGAUUUUUUUCUUCUUCCAGCGAGGUUGAGGUUCGAUUUUGCAUAGUAUUUGGUUGCAGCCUCUGUGUCACGGAGAUAACUCAAUUUUCUUGUUUUCUUUCUCUCUCCAUAGGCAGUGAUUUUGCUGUUCAGAUAUGUCGAUUUUGCAGAGUAUUUGGUUGUAGCCUCUACAGCACGAAGAUUUUGUUGGAUCUCCAGAUGACCUCAAGUCUACUUCUGGAUAUGUUUUGAUGGUGGCAAGUGGGGUUAUAUUGAAGAAGACUGUUAAGAAGACACUCACUGCAUCUUCCACUAUGCAGGUAGAUUAUAUGGCGUGUUAUGAAGCCAUUGUUCAAGCUUUAUGGUUAAGGAAUUUUAUCUCAGGACUACAUAUUGUUGACUCUAUAUCUAAACCAUUGAGGAUGUUCUGUGACAACUCAGCUCGAUUCGUUUAUCUCAUAAUAGUAAAAGUGCUUCAGGAUCUAAGCACAUUAACAUUAAGUAUUUUCUUAUCAGAAAGAAAGUUCAAGAGUCACAGAUUACAAUGGAGUAGACUGCUAUAGAAAAUAUGAUUGCAGAUCCUCUUACUAAGGGUUUAACACUCAGAGUUUUCCAAUAGCAUGUCAUUAAUAUGGGACUUGUUAGUUCUUCUAAUGCAUUUUAUUAGUGGAAGUUUUUCUCAAUUUG